CAUCAUAGCACAAUAUCCUUUGUUCAAGAUUCGACUUUGUCUUUAGAAAGUGUUUCACCUGCUUCUCUAUGUCUUCGUCAUCAUAAGAAAUUUCACCAAACAGUAUUACUUCCAAUAGAUACACAAAUUUUAAAACAAAGAGACCUUUCAUCUUGUAUAGCAACAAUUAAUUAAUAUGACCUUUGUUACACAACUUCCACACAUAUUUUGACAAAAUUGGUUAUCCCCAUUUUAUCCAAU